CUACGGGGGGCACCAGUAGGGAAUAUUGGACAAUGGGCGAAAGCCUGAUCCAGCAACACCGCGUGCACGAUGAUGGCCUUCGGGUUGUAAAGUGCUUUUAGAGGAGAUGAGAAAGGACAGUAUCCUCUGAAUAAGCCUCGGCGAACUACGUGCCAGCAGCCGCGGUAAAACGUAGGAGGCAAGCGUUAUCCGGAUUUAUUGGGCGUAAAGCGCGUGCAGGCGGUCUAGCAAGUUGGAUGUGAAAGCUCCCGGCUCAACUGGGAGAGGUCGUUCAAUACUGUUAGACUAGAGAAUAGGAGAGGGAGGUGGAAUUCCGGGUGUAGUGGUGAAAUGCGUAGAUAUCCGGAGGAACACCAGUGGCGAAAGCGGCCUCCUGGACUAUUUCUGACGCUAAGACGCGAAAGCUAGGGUAGCAAACGGGAUUAGAUACCCGAGUAGUC
rnacentral:rRNA from 1 species